rnacentral:tRNA from 1 species
GAGGGUGUAGCUCAGUGGUAGAGUGUGUGCUUAGCAUGCACAAGGUCCUGGGUUCAAUCCCCAGCACCUCCA